UACGGAGGGUGCGAGCGUUGUCCGGAAUCACUGGGCGUAAAGGGCGCGUAGGUGGCCCGUUAAGCGUGUGGUGAAAGCCCGGGGCUCAACUCCGGGUCGGCCAUGCGAACUGGCGGGCUGGAGCACUGUAGAGGCAGGUGGAAUUCCUGGUGUAGCGGUGAAAUGCGCAGAUAUCAGGAAGAACACCCGUGGCUAAGGCGGCUCUCUAGUACGGUACUGACGCUGAGACGCGAAAGCGUGGGGAGCGAACAGG
rnacentral:rRNA from 1 species